UCUGUGGGAGAUUUUCAAGGGGCAUUAUGAAGAUUCAGUGAAGGAGUACUACAAUAAUUUGCUUCGUAAAUCUACCAUGAAAAGUGGCAUAUACCAUAAGAUGGGCUUCUCUGGGACCCACAAGCAGCUGUUCCCUAGAUAUUUGAGGAUUGUACUUAAAAAUGCUGAGGUACACAGAUACAGUCAUUCUCAUCACUCAACAAGAGGAACAUAUUCAAGUCAUAUAAUACCACUGAGACACUCCUUGACAGGAACAACACACACUGAUCCAGGACCAGCAUACGUACCAUUCUCUACAUUCCUGUCUGCGGCCCUAGUGAGUGGAAGCUUCAGUAUAAUUUACCUCUUGCCACACUGAGUUUUGUGUGUGAAAAAUAAAUAAUAUUGUAUUACCUGCACAGUGCAGAAAUAUUGCUCUGGCAGAGGCCUCUGUUCAGUUGGAGGCUUUCUCCCCUGUCAAUGGACUUUAAUUAAUUUCUAAGUACCUACGUACUCACGUACUCAUUAACUGGUUGUGUUGGGUUGAGGGCAGUAGCAAAAUGAAGGGCCACGGCCUCAUGGCCCUCUUGUAUAUGUCACUGCCUUUUUGCCACUGAAUGGGCUGCUAGCAACUUGGUCAUGUCUCUGUUACACACUGUUGGCAAGUAAUGGCUCCAGAAUUAUCAUUAUUAUUAUUAUUACAUUUUCGUCCCCAGUAAUGUACAGUAACGUAUCAGUACAAAACCUACAUGGUUUAUAUAUUCACAGUGAACUGUAUAACUGUAUAGUUUAUUGUCAACCUGUAUGACAACAUUAGUGAACAAAUAUCAUUAUUGUUAUUACUACCUAGGAGCCUAAAAAGUUAGUUCUUGCAGCUGCACUGGAAUAUCUUACACAGAAGAGAGCCAUUGUUAUCUUUAAACCAGCCUGAUAGCCAUCUAGUGUAAUUUUACAGUCUUAGUUAUAUUCAUGCCCUAAAAAUAUUAAAAAUAUUGUGUCAAAUCUA